ensembl:rRNA 5S_rRNA 5S ribosomal RNA
GUCUACGGCCAUACCACCGUGAAUUCGGAAGCUAAGGAGUUGGGCCUGGCCAGGGCCUUGAUGGGAGACCGCCUGAAAAUACCAAGGGCGGUGAGCU